rnacentral:sRNA from 1 species
UAGAUGUUUGUAUAUUGUAAUUGCCUU